rnacentral:rRNA from 1 species
GACGAACGCUGGCGGCGUGCCUAAAACAUGCAAGUCGAACGGGUCCAACCAGUGGCAACACUGGUGAAGACCUAGUGGCGAACGGGUGAGUAACACGUGAGAAACCUGCCCCGGAGACCGGAACAACCCGUGGAAACGCGGGCUAAAUACCGGAUACCCUCAUCGGACCGCAUGGUCUGGUGAGGAAAUGGAUUUCCGCUCUGGGAGGGUCUCGCGGCCCAUCAGCUAGUUGGUGAGGUAACGGCUCACCAAGGCGACGACGGGUAGCUGGUCUGAGAGGACGAUCAGCCACACUGGGACUGAGACACGGCCCAGACUCCUACGGGAGGCAGCAGUUAGGAAUCUUGCGCAAUGGGCGAAAGCCUGACGCAGCAACGCCGCGUGCGGGAUGAAGGCCUUCGGGUUGUAAACCGCUUCAGUGGGCGGAAAUUGACGGGUACCACCAGAAGAAGCUCCGGCUAACUACGUG